rnacentral:rRNA from 1 species
CUAUGCGCCUUGCCAGCCCGCUCAGAAACUCAAAGGAAUUGACGGGGGCUUGCACAAGCGGUGGAGCAUGUGGUUUUAAUUCGACAAUAAGCGAAGAACCUUACCAGGACUUGACAUCCCAAUCCGUACCCCACAGAAAUGCGGGGUCAGUUCGGCUGGAUUGGUGACAGGUGCUGCACGGUUGUCGUCAGCUCGUGUCGUGAGAUAUUCCGUUAAGUCGGCUAACGAGCGAAACCCUUAUCGCCAGUUGUAUUUCUCUGGCGAGACUGCCUCGGUUAACGGGGAGGAAGGUGGGGAUGACGUCAAAUCAGCGUGGCUCUUACGUCCUGGGCUACACACGUGCUACAAUGGCAGCUACAAAGGGUCGCAAUAUCGCAAGAUGGAGCUAAUCCUUAAAAGUUGUCGCAGUUCGGAUUGAAGGCUGCAAUUCGCCUUCACGAAGCUGGAAUCGCUAGUAAUCGCGCAUCAGCCAUGGCGCGGUGAAUACGUUCCCGGGCCUU